AAUUUGAACUGGUCUGGACUGGUCUGAACUGGUUUGAACUGGUUUUAUUUGUCUGAACUGGUUUGGACUGGUCUGAAUUGGAAAUGGCUCCCAGUUUGAUCCAAUAUCUAUAAGAAAAUAAAGGAAUUUUUCACAGAUUUUUGGGAUUUUUUUCCCUCCCAUUUAUUCCAAAUUUCUGCUGGUUCCAGUUUGGACUGGUCUGCACUGGUUUUUGCCGUUUUUUGCUGUUUUUUGCCGUUUUUUGGCGCUCUCAGGAGUGCAGGAAUCGGUUGAAGGCGUUGUAGGCGGACUCGAGGUCGAAGAGCAUCUGGCGCACCU
rnacentral:lncRNA from 1 species